rnacentral:rRNA from 1 species
GUAUGUGGUUUAAUUCGACGCAACGCGCAGACCUUACCUGGUCUUGACAUCCCGGGAAUUUACCUUGAAAGAGGGAAGUGCCUCGCAAGAGGAGCCUGGAGACAGGUGCUGCAUGGCUGUCGUCAGCUCGUGUCGUGAGAUGUUGGGUUAAGUCCCGCAACGAGCGCAACCCUUGUCUUUAGUUGCCAUCAUUCAGUUGGGCACUCUAAAGAGACUGCCGGUGUCAAACCCGGAGGAAGGUGGGGAUGACGUCAAGUCCUCAUGGCCUUUAUGACCAGGGCUACACACGUACUACAAUGGCCGGUACAAAGGGCAGCCACUUAGCGAUAAGGAGCCAAUCCCGUAAAGCCGGUCUCAGUCCGGAUUGGAGUCUGCAACUCGACUCCAUGAAGUUGGAAUCGCUAGUAAUCGCAGAUCAGCACGCUGCGGUGAAUACGUUCCCGGGCCUU